AUACGGAGGGGGUUAGCGUUGUUCGGAAUUACUGGGCGUAAAGCGUACGUAGGCGGAUUAGUAAGUUAGGGGUGAAAUCCCAGGGCUCAACCCUGGAACUGCCUCUAAAACUGCUAGUCUUGAGAUCGAGAGAGGUGAGUGGAAUUCCUAGUGUAGAGGUGAAAUUCGUAGAUAUUAGGAGGAACACCAGUGGCGAAGGCGGCUCACUGGCUCGAUACUGACGCUGAGGUACGAAAGUGUGGGGAGCAAACAGGAUUAGAAACCCCAGUAGUCC
rnacentral:rRNA from 1 species